GUACGUAGGGUGCAAGGCGUUAAUCGGAAUUACUGGCGUAAAGCGUGCGCAGGCGGCUUUGCAAGACAGAUGUGAAAUCCCCGGGCUCAACCCUGGGAACUGGCAUUUGUGACUGCAAAGCUAGAGUACGGCAGAGGGGGAUGGAAUUCCGCGUGUAGCAGUGAAAUGCGUAGAUAUGCGGAGGAACACCGAUGGCGAAGGCAAUCCCCUGGGCCUGUACUGACGCUCAUGCACGAAAGCGUGGGGAGCAAACAGG
rnacentral:rRNA from 1 species